CUCGUUUGCGACAGGGACGACGGCCCAUUCCGAGUGCUAUUGCUUCCCAGUCAUAAAUUCGCGUGUCGGCGCGCGCGAAAUGUGGAAGUCAAUUGCACGCGGAAUUAAUUAGUGUCAGGUUUCUUCCAGCGAAACAGAAGAAGAACGGACGUUGCCUACGGUCUGCAGCGCGGUGCGCUGCAGCGAAGACGGUGGUGGGUGGCCACAUUUUUUUGUCUUCCGUAUGUUCUUGUCACUAUUGCUGUGUCACGCCGUGCUUUCGUCGCUCGACAAGCCAACCAUCGUGUACUAGUCCCAUCGCCCACUCCAGCGCGAUGACGCUUGUCUUGGUGAGUACAUGCUUUCUGGUUACUUUCGUCAUUUCACAAGUGCCCCCCCCCCCUUUCUUUUUUCUAGAUCUGCAACCUGUGCCUUGGCCCCUGGCACCCGGUUCCUGCACCCGGCCGUGUCUCGCAACGAUGACGUUCAGCACCUGUCUGUCGUCCAGCAGCUGAUCGUGUCUUCACUUCUGUUCCUGCCUCACUGCUAUUGUGUCCUGGUGAAUGAAGAUGCCUGCAAUCUCCGUGCUGCAGAACGUCCACUGCACGCCGCAUCCUUUAGUGCCAGACGCACGCGACAGAUAUUCCUGCACCCAGUCGUAUCUAGCACAGAUGACGUUCAGCACCUGUCUGUCGUCCAGCAGCUGAUCGUGUCUUGACUUCUGUUCCUGCCUCACUGCUAUUGUCCUCGUGAAUGAAGAUGCCUGCAAUCCCCGCCCUGCAGAACGCCCAGUGCACUCUGCAACCCUCGUCUCGACAUCUGCCAUCCAUCAAGGUAUCUCCCACCAGCGUAAUAGGCAAUUACACCAAGUGCAGACCGUAGGGAGGCAGGCGUUUCUCUCCCGACUCAUCGCAUUGCUGCUCCCGAAAACGUCGUGCUGCAGGAAACGUUCUUCGCUGCCUCGACGAAGCCACACAACUAUGAAGUCCCAAGAAACAGCACGACGUCACGUGACAUGAAUGCUCAUCCCGGUUGAAGUUGUUCAUUCCACCCUAUAGAAGAUGACGGCCACUCGAUGAAGUCGCAUGUUAUUCAGUGGCUGUGACCGUAUGAUCUGGGUACCUAAAAGUCCCAGGUAACAUGCUGUUCUAUAGCU